rnacentral:rRNA from 1 species
UACAGAGGGGCAAGCGUUGUUCGGAAUUACUGGGCGUAAAGGGGUCUGAUAGGUGGCUUGCGUAAGUCAGACGUGAAAUCCCUCAGCUUAACUGGGGAACUGCGUCUGAGACUGGCGAGCUUGAGAGCAGGAGAGGAACGCGGAAUUCCAGGUGUAGCGGUGAAAUGCGUAGAGAUCGUAAGGAAGACCAGUGGCGAAGGCGGAUCUCUGGACAGUACUGACACUGAGGCAGCGGAAGGCCAGGGAGCAAACGGG